AAGCAUCCCAGUUGGGAUCGGAAAACUUGUAAACUUGACAAACUUAAGUUUGCAAAAAAACUACACAAGUGGAAGCAUUCAGGCAACAAUUGGGCAACUUCGACAGUUGGAAACAUUAUAUUUGUCAGAUAACUUGUAUAAAUGGAAGCAUUCCGGCAACAAUCGGUCAACUUCGACAAUUAGAGGCAUUAGAUUUGUCAAGAAACAACUUUUCCGGUGAAGUCCCAUCAAGUUUGGGAAAUUGUUCCAAAUCUUUUUCUACUAGACCUCUCAAUAAACAAGGUCAGUGGAACCAUUCCUGAAGCGGUUCUUAAAAUCCCUCUAACACACAUUAAUAUCGUCGAUAAUAAGUUAACUGGAUAUAUUCCAACAAGCAUUUCGAACAGAUUUAUCUACAUUUGCAUGGCUAGAAACUCACGGGAAGGUCCAAUUCCUGUAUCACUUGUAACUUGGAAUAUCUUCAGGAAUUGGAUCUUUCUUCUAAUAAUUUGCAAGGCCAAAUUCCAAUGUCUUGUCAAAACCUAAAAGCAAUUGAACAUAUCAACCUUUUCUACAAAUCAUUUGUCUCGGAUUUUUCCUUUGUACCUGCAAAACCUUUUUCAUCUUUGGAGUUUAGAUCUAUCAUAUAAUGAACUGGAAGGUCAAGUUCGACAAGAAGGGUUCAAGAAUCCAAAUCAAGUCUUUCUCCAGGGCAACAGUAAACUUUGUGGGGUUAUAGGUUUCAUGGAUCUGCCCGUAUGUCCCAGUCAAGCUUCUCAAAAAGGAAGAGCGCAUAGAAAGAUAGAAACAAUGAUCCUAGCAAUCAGCAUUCCUAUGUCAAUUACUGUAUUGUGCGCAACAUUUUCGGAGAAAGAACUCGAGAAACGGCCCCAUAUCAUCAUUCCAACUAAGAGGGACCAUCCAAAACUUUCAUAUGAAGAGCUCUUUGUGGCAACAGAUGGUUUGGUCCAACAAAUUUGAUUGGUUCCGGGAGUUUCGGCUCCAUUUACAUGAGAAGUCGUGGAAAUGGAACCAAUAUUGCAGUGACAAUUCUCCACUUAAAACAAGAUAGAGAUUUCAAGAGUUUUGUUGCAGAAUGUGAAGCCCUUUGUGGAUUUCGACAUCGAAAUCUAGUCGAGCUAAUCACUCGUUGUUAAAUUCGUGAUCUUGAGAGCAAUGAUUUCAAAGCCCUAGUAUUUGAGUUCAUGCCCAAUAGCAGCUUGGACAAAUGGCUUCAUCCAUCAACUUCCUCUAAUUUGAUUAUUGGAAAUGGAAACCACCAUUUAAACUUGAAGCUCUUUUAGAGAUUGAGCAUAGCCAUCGACAUAGCCUCUGCACUGGAGUACCCACAUCGGGACUGUCCACGAUUGUUGUGCAUUGUGAUUUGAAACCCAGUAAUAUUCUACUAGACAAAGGCAUGUCAGCACAUGUUCGAGUUCGAGACUUCAGCUUGGCAAGAAUCCUUCCCCGUAUUUCUUUGUUAGAAUAUCUAAGUAGCAUGCUUGGACUCAAAGGAUCCAUAGGAUACAUACCUCCAGCCUCGACUAAUGCAGAUGUCUAUGGUUUUGGUAUCUUGCUGUUGAAGAUGUUCACCGGAAAGAAACCCACUGAUGAAAUGUUUGCAAAUGGAUUGAGCCUUUGUGAAUUCGUGAACAAGGCUUAUCCCAAUCAAGUUAUGGAAAUUAUGGAUCUCAGGCUAUGUGAAGAUGUGAGAUUAGUCUAGUGCAAUUGAAAAAUCAGAUUCAACCAUGUUUGGUGGCCAUCAUGAAGAUCGGUUUGUCAUCAAAAGACCGAAUAGGCAUGAGAGAUGCCCUAAACAAAUUGCAGGACAUCAAAAACUCAACGUCAAAGUUACGGAAAUUAUGGAUCUCAGGCUAUGUGAAGAUACGAGAUUAGUCUAGUGCAAUUGAAAAAAUCAGAUUCAACCAUGUUUGGUGGCCAUCUUGGUUUGUCAUCAAAAGACCGAAUAGGCAUGAGAGAUGCCCAAAACAAAUUGCAGGACAUCAAAUACUCAAAUGUCAAAGUUAUGGAAAUUAUGGAUCUCAGGCUAUGUGAAGAUAUGAGAUUAAUCUAGUGCAAUUGCAUGUUUGGUGACCGUCAUGGAGAUUGGUUUGUCAUCAAAAGACCGAAUAGGCAUGAAAGAUGCCCUAAACAAAUUGUAGGACAUCAAAAACUCAAUGUCAAAGAUCUAUUUGAAGAGAGAGAGAGUACCAUCAUGUUAUACACCCACCAGCUCAAGCCCUGAGCCUCCGGUUUCCCACUCCACUAUGUAGACCUCUCUUUCUCUCAUGAAGUUUCAUUUCAUUGUUGAUAUUUAACUGUUGGUUUCUCUCUCUUAGUAUUUCUGUUUAAUAUGGAUUAAGUUUGGCCUUUCCUUA